AUUGAACGCUGGCGGCAGGCCUAACACAUGCAAGUCGAACGAGUGGCGGACGGGUGAGUAAUGUCUGGGAACCUGCCUGAUGGCGGGGGAUAACUACUGGAAACGGUAGCUAAUACCGCAUACCAUCGGAUGUGCCCAGAUGGGAUUAGCUAGUAGGUGGGGUAACGGCUCACCAAGGCGACGAUCCCUAGCUGGUCUGAGAGGAGGACCAGCCACACUGGAACUGAGACACGGUCCAGACUCCUACGGGAGGCAGCAGUGGGGAAUAUUGCACAAUGGGGGAAAGCCUGAUGCAGCCAUGCCGCGUGUAUGAAGAAGGCCUUCGGGUUGUAAAGUACUUUCAGCGGGGAGGCGUUACCCGCAGAAGAAGCACCGGCUAACUCCGUGCCAGCAGCCGCGGUAAUAC
rnacentral:rRNA from 1 species